rnacentral:rRNA from 1 species
GAUGAACGCUGGCGGCGUGCCUAAUACAUGCAAGUCGAGCGAACAGACGAGGAGCUUGCUCCUCUGACGUUAGCGGCGGACGGGUGAGUAACACGUGGAUAACCUACCUAUAAGACUGGGAUAACUUCGGGAAACCGGAGCUAAUACCGGAUAAUAUAUUGAACCGCAUGGUUCAAUAGUGAAAGACGGCUUUGCUGUCACUUAUAGAUGGAUCCGCGCCGCAUUAGCUAGUUGGUAAGGUAACGGCUUACCAAGGCAACGAUGCGUAGCCGACCUGAGAGGGUGAUCGGCCACACUGGAACUGAGACACGGUCCAGACUCCUACGGGAGGCAGCAGUAGGGAAUCUUCCGCAAUGGGCGAAAGCUUGACGGGGCAACGCCGCGUGAGUGAUGAAGGUCUUCGGAUCGUAAAACUCUGUUAUUAGGGAAGAACAAAUGUGUAAGUAACUAUGCACGUCUUGACGGUACCUAAUCAGAAAGCCACGGCUAACUACGUG